rnacentral:lncRNA from 1 species
ACAAUUCAAAGGUAUAAGGUAUGAGAAAUAGGUUUCUCGCACCCAAGAGGUGUGGAAUUCAUUAUGGAGUAAACAUCUCAAGAUAUGGAUGAUGAGCCAACAAAUACGCCCGAGUUGGGGUGUUCAUCGGUAAUUUACCUUACUGAAUUGGACCAGACCGGUUACCGAAUUCAUCCGAAACUGAGUACCUAUACCGGUACCGGUUCGGUACCGGUUUUUAUCUACUUUUGUACCAGUUGUUGUACUAUACAUAUUUUCCUAAUGAAGGGCAGGGCCUAAAAGGCAACAAAAAUCAAAAGUGUAAAAAAUCAAUGGAAAAUGAAGCAAAACACUAGAAUCAAUGCACAUAAGCAAGCCAAUGUUUUUACUUCCACAGAAUAAAGAAAAGUCACAUAAUUCGACUGUAUACAAUAAAGAAACUAAACUCAAUCCUAUGUUUUUGCUGCCACUAACUAAAUAAAGAAACGACACAUAAAUUACAUGCAUAGGAUAUUCAAGAAAGCCACAUAAUUCAUGAAUAAGUUGCAGGCAUAGUCCGACGCUGAAAUUGAGUUACAAUCCCAAAGAAAAACUAUAGCAUACAAUAUGAAAUCCGUACCUUCGAACAAAGCAGCUAAAUCAGAUGAAAGAGUGGAACCAAAUCAGACCCUAAUCAUGGAGCCUCCACUAUGCUACCAAAAAUCUCAAAUAAUACAACAGAUAACUGAUCCUCUUCCUAAUAAUUAAUAGAACAUUAAUACAAUGCAUCGCAAGCACUAAUAUAUAAGUUAAGCACUAAUAUUUUAAAUCUAGUUUACAAUUGUUGUUGAUAAAUAAUAAUAUUCAAUAAUUGCAAUCAAAAUGUGAGCACAAGUCUUUUAAGUUUUAAGACAAAUAAAAUGGGCCAAGCAAAAUAGAAACAAUUUCAUUGGGUUGAUGGAUAAAAGUCUAACCUCUUUUUCAUUGUGAAAAGUAUUUAUCUUUUGUACCAGCCAACUAAAUUAUGAAAUAUGAUAUCAAAGGGAAUUGUUAAAUUUACUCCACUUUCAUAGCUAGCACAUUUAACAUCUACUACAACUGAUAAAAAAAACAAAAACAUAAAACAUCUCCUUAUUAAAUAAUAUAUAACAAAUCAGAUGCUAGAAUGAAGCAAUUGGAGGCGGCAUCUUAUGUUUCGCUGAAGUGGGUAAAUGCCCUUCACAAAAAAUAAGUUGGCAUCUAACAUUGCACUUAAAUAGACAACUUACCCCUCUAACUAAGUUGUUUCCAGAUUAGUGCAAGCAGUUAAGUUUGAAAUGGCUAAUACAAUAAUAAUAGAUAGGACUCCUAAAAUUAUCCAUUCUGAGGAAGUAUUCAAAUAUUAUACAUGAGACACAAGACAACUUUGGUAAAAAAAAUGUUAUAUACACUUUUACAAAUAGCUUAAAAAAAAGAUCAAUAGAGAAAUAAUCCACAAAAUUGAGAAAUACACAUUUUUUAUUAACUAAUUUGAAAUAAUACAUUGAAAAGUAAUGGGUACAUCGUACUUACACGCAUGACGACAAGGUAACAUGUUGGGAAAUCCAGUUCAACGCAUUCAACAGUCUUCUAAUCUCCCCUUUUUCUACCAUUUCAACAACUCCCAUCGAAACAAGCUCGGAAUUGGGCAAAGCCACGAAUUGGGAGGGUUUUACGCUUCUCCCAGAAGAAACCGAGAAAGAAACCGCGGAAAAAAAAGGCGCAGAACAGCCGGAAACGUUCAUUACCGCACGUAACCCAUAUAACAUGAGGGAGCCUGAUAACCCUCCCCAAAAUGGGGCUCCGACCCGACUGUACGAACUGUAAAAUCACCAAACAGUAACUGUACGCACUGUACAGCAGCUACGAACAGCAGGGGAGGCCUAACAACAGGGAAAAAAGAGCGGCGCGUGAGGGCGCGUCCAACCUCCGAUUUGGUCGAUCUUCCUCCGACCUCCGAUUUGCACCACCUGAAACCAAAACCCUAAAUAACCAAUUGAACUAUGGCUUCUUUACUUGGUUCUUGGUGUCCGCGUAUGGCUGCUGAAAGUAGGCCUCGUUUGUUUUUGUCUGGUUGAAGCCUUUGUGACACUGAACAAGGACAAGAAGAGUAUUGUUUCUACUUUCUAGUUGGUGAUAUAUUUAAAGAGCUUGCAGACACCUGUGUUUUAGGGCUGGAGUAAUAUAUUACCGAGGGGUUGAAGUUUGUUUCAUUCUUCUAGUCUCCUUGUGUUGUAAUUUAGAUGGAAAAUGUUUU